GAUGAACACUGGCGGCGUGCCUAACACAUGCAAGUCGAACGAAGCACCUUACCUGAUUCUUCGGAUGAAAGUUUGGUGACUGAGUGGCGGACGGGUGAGUAACGCGUGGGUAACCUGCCCUGUACAGGGGGAUAACAGCUGGAAACGGCUGCUAAUACCGCAUAAGCGCACGAGGAGACAUCUCCUUGUGUGAAAAACUCCGGUGGUACAGGAUGGGCCCGCGUCUGAUUAGCUGGUUGGCAGGGUAACGGCCUACCAAGGCAACGAUCAGUAGCCGGUCUGAGAGGAUGAACGGCCACAUUGGAACUGAGACACGGUCCAAACUCCUACGGGAGGCAGCAGUGGGGAAUAUUGCACAAUGGGGGAAACCCUGAUGCAGCAACGCCGCGUGAGUGAAGAAGUAUUUCGGUAUGUAAAGCUCUAUCAGCAGGGAAGAUAAUGACGGUACCUGACUAAGAAGCUCCGGCUAAAUACGUG
rnacentral:rRNA from 1 species